rnacentral:rRNA from 1 species
GUGGGGAAUCUUAGACAAUGGGGGAAACCCUGAUCUAGCCAUGCCGCGUGAGCGAUGAAGGCCUUAGGGUUGUAAAGCUCUUUCAGAUGGGAAGAUAAUGACGGUACCAUCAGAAGAAGCCCCGGCUAACUCCGUGCCAGCAGCCGCGGUAAUACGGAGGGGGCUAGCGUUGUUCGGAAUUACUGGGCGUAAAGCGCACGUAGGCGGACCAGAAAGUCAGAGGUGAAAUCCCAGGGCUCAACCUUGGAACUGCCUUUGAAACUCCUGGUCUUGAGGUCGAGAGAGGUGAGUGGAAUUCCGAGUGUAGAGGUGAAAUUCGUAGAUAUUCGGAGGAACACCAGUGGCGAAGGCGGCUCACUGGCUCGAUACUGACGCUGAGGUGCGAAAGCGUGGGGAGCAAACAGGAUUAGAAACCCUAGUAGUCC